rnacentral:tRNA from 1 species
GCGAUCAUAGUGUAGUGGCUAUCACGUCUCUUUCCCACAUGUCCAACCAGGUGUUUAAAAGAGGAGGGCGCGGGUUCGAACCCCGCUGGUCGCA